GAUGAACGCUGGCGGCGUGCUUAACACAUGCAAGUCGAACGGUGACGGCGGAGCUUGCUCUGCUGGCUCAGUGGCAAACGGGUGAGUAACACGUGUGCAAUCUGCUCCUCACUCUCGGAUAAGCGCUGGAAGCGGCGUCUAAUACUGGAUACGAGCUGCGCUGGCAUCUUCAGCAGCUGGUCAGAAUUCCGGUCAGGGAUGAGCUCGCGGCCUACCAGCUUGCUGGUGAGGUAUUUGCUCACCCAGGAGGUGACCGGUAGCCGGCAUGGGAGGGGGACCGGCGACACUGGGACUACGACACGGCCCAGACUCCUACAGGAGGCAGCAGUGGGAAAUAUUGCACAAUGAGCGAGAGCCUGAUGCAGCAACGCCGCGGGUGGGACGACGGCCUGCGGGGUGUAAACCUCAGUUAGCAGAGAAGAAGCGAAAGUGACGGUACCUGCAGAAAAAGCGCCGGCUAACUUCGUG
rnacentral:rRNA from 1 species